rnacentral:rRNA from 1 species
UACGGAGGGUGCAAGCGUUAUCCGGAUUCACUGGGUUUAAAGGGCGCGUAGGAGGGCAGGUAAGUCAGUGGUGAAAGCCCCGGGCUCAACCUGGGAAGUGCACUCGAAACUGCUUGGCUUGAGUACUGGAGAGGGAAGCGGAAUUCUCGGUGUAGAGGUGAAAUUCGUAGAUAUUCGCAAGAACACCAGUGGCGAAGGCGGCUCACUGGCCCGAUACUGACGCUGAGGUGCGAAAGCGUGGGGAGCAAACAGG